GACGAACGCUGGCGGCGUGCUUAACACAUGCAAGUCGAACGGAAAGGCCCUGCUUUUGUGGGGUGCUCGAGUGGCGAACGGGUGAGUAACACGUGAGUAACCUGCCCUUGACUUUGGGAUAACUUCAGGAAACUGGGGCUAAUACCGGAUAGAAGCUCCUGCUGCAUGGUGGGGGUUGGAAAGUUUCGGCGGUUGGGGAUGGACUCGCGGCUUAUCAGCUUGUUGGUGGGGUAGUGGCUUACCAAGGCUUUGACGGGUAGCCGGCCUGAGAGGGUGACCGGCCACAUUGGGACUGAGAUACGGCCCAGACUCCUACGGGAGGCAGCAGUGGGGAAUAUUGCACAAUGGGCGGAAGCCUGAGGCAGCAACGCCGCGUGCGGGAUGACGGCCUUCGGGUUGUAAACCGCUUUCGCCUGUGACGAAGCGUGAGUGACGGUAAUGGGUAAAGAAGCACCGGCUAACUACGUG
rnacentral:rRNA from 1 species